UCUUUUAAUUGAAGGCUUGUAUGAAUGGUUGGACGAGAUAUUAACUGUCUCAAUUUAAUUAUUAGAAUUUUAUUUUUUAGUAAAAAAGCUAAAAUAUUAUUAAAAGACGAGAAGACCCUAUAGAUCUUGAUAGUACUUAUAUUAAUUUUAUAAAGGAUAAUUUAAAAUAAAUAUAUUAAUCUAUUUUAUUGGGGUGAUAAUAAGAUUUAUAUAACUCUUAUUUAUUUAUUUACACAGAUUAGUGAUUUUUUGAUCCGUUAUUAACGAUUAAUAGAUUAAGUUACCUUAGGGAUAACAGCGUAAUUUUUUUAGAGAGUUCAUAUCGAUAAAAAAGAUUGC
rnacentral:rRNA from 1 species